CGUGCUCAAAUAUUCUCCAGAUCAGGGCCUUUUUGAGUCUGGGAAAACUCAGUGGGCUCUAUUUUGAAAAAUCGUUGUCUUAGUCGCCUAAAUACCCCAAGGGGACGGGCGUCUCAUAUUUUCAUUUAAACCCCUAUGAUUAUUAAAAUUCACCUUUUGAUGGCGCCUCCUGAAGGUCGCCCCGUCCCUAUCCCUCUCUCUGAGCCAUUUCGGCCUCUGGAUCAGGGUUUAUCUGGGCGUAAGAAAAUCUAUCGGGGUUUUUUGGAAAGGUAUCUUCUUCAUCCUUCACGGGGUCUUAAAAAAAACCAAGGGGGGAGAGGGAGAGUUCGGCACGUCGCCAUGGAACUCGCCCUCCCCCUCCUCCCGCUGCUGCUGCUCCUCCAGCUCGCCGCCGGGCAUGGAGGCGGCGCCGCCUUGCCCCCCUCCUUGGAGGCGCCUUACGGGCGGGUACACGGCGGCGGGGGGGAGGCGGAGGAGAAGAACAGGAGCCGGGCGGGGGGCGGCGCCGGGGGGGUCGCGGCGGCAAUAAUGGAGAUGGCGAUGGCGGAGGAGACGGGGGAGUGGCUGAGGGGGGAUCAGGAGGAGGAUCCACGAGCUGCCGGAGCUGGCCUUCGAGGAGGUGGAGACCAGCAGGCUGGUGCGCCGCCAGCUUGACGCCAUGGGGAUCUCCUACCGCUUCCCCAUCGCCACCACCGGCCUCGUCGCCACCGUCGGCACCGGCGGCCCUCCCUUCGUCGCCCUCCGCGCCGACAUGGACGCCCUCCCCAUCCAGGUUCCCCCGUCUCUUCCUAUUCUUCUUCAUCCUUCUCUUCCUCCUCUUCUUCUUUCUCCUCUCCCUCUUUCUCCUCUUCUUUAUCAUCCUGUUCCCCCUCUUCUUCAUGCUCCUGUUCAUCCUCCUAUACCUGCUCGUCUUCUUCAUGCUCCUGUUCAUCCUCCUAUACCUGCUCGUCUUCUUCGUCCUCGCCGGCCCUUGAUCUUCCUUUCUUCCUCUGCUCUGCUCGCAGGAGGCGGUGGAGUGGGAGCACAAGAGCAAGGUCGCCGGCAGGAUGCACGCCUGCGGCCACGACGCCCACGUCGCCAUGCUCCUCGGCGCCGCCCGGAUACUGAAAUCCCGCGAGGCCCACCUCCAGGUCAGACACACACAGGCAGACAAGAUAGAUGAAUAGGUGGAUAGAGAGAGCGAGAGAGAGCUGACCUUGUGCAGUGGGUUUCUGGCAGGGGACGGUGAGGUUGAUCUUCCAGCCGGCGGAGGAGGCGGGGAAUGGCGCCAUGAGGAUGAUCAAGGAAGGGGCGCUGGAGGGAGCAGAGGCCAUAUUCGCCGCCCACGUCUCGCACGAGCACCCCACCUCCAUCGUCGCCUCCAUGCCCGGCGCCAUUCUCGCCGGCUGCGGCUUCUUCAAGGCCGUCCUCACCUCCCCGGAGCACGGGGGCGGCGCCAGCCCCAUCAUCGCCGGCGCCGCCGUCGUCGUCUCCCUGCAGAGUCUCGUCUCCCGCGAAGCCGACCCCCUCGACUCCCAGGUCGUCUCCGUCGCCUCCUUCAACGGCGACGCCGCCAGCUCCGCCACCCUCGGCGGCACCUUCCGCGCCUUCUCCAACGCCAGCUUCCACCACCUCCGCCGGAGGAUCCAAGAGGUCCGCCCUUCCGCUCCAUCGCCACCUGCCAUUCUCACAUACAAUUUCAUUUCGUGAGCUCACCAGUUCAUCACCACCUCAUCUGGCACGGGCAGGUGAUCGAGGAGCAGACGAGAGUGUACAGGUGCGCGGUGGAGGUGGACUUCUUCGAGGACCAGCAGUUCUACCCGCCGACGGUCAACGACGAGGCGAUGGCGGCGCUGGUGAAGGAGGUGGCCGUUGACCUGCUGGGGCGGGAGAGGUACUGGGAAGUGCUGCCGAGAAUGGGGGCUGAGGACUUCGCCU
rnacentral:lncRNA from 1 species